UAAACAGAAGCUUAUUAGUAAAUGUAAUCUUGAUGAAACGCAUCUAUUUUGGGCAGACAUAACCUCAAAGGAGCAAUGCAAACAGUGGAUUACAGAGUUCUCCGCAAAUGAGACAGCAUGGGUGCUGCGUACCUCUAAAUUAGCUUCAAAAAAGAUUGUUUGCAGAAUGGAAUAUGUCUGUCAUCAGGCAUCAUUUGAAAAAUCACAAUCCACAAGAAAGAUAUCAAAAAAUUCGACUGCCAAGCAGCAAUUGUUAUUGUUGUAAAAGCUCAAACAAAGUGGAGUACGUACAAAAAUGAACAAAUAAAGAACAAUUUGCCGGCUCUAAUAACAAUUAAAAAUAAACACGCUCAUGCUUUAAACAAUGCAGUUGCGCUCAGUUAUUUACCUGCAUCGGAAGGAGUAAGAAAUGCAUUUGAAACAUAUUUUGGCAAUGGCAUGGGCAUAACAGAAGCUAUUCACUUUCAUUCUCACAAAUUGGAGCUUGAGAUGGAUGAAACAAAUAUCGCCAAUGCAUGAGUGAAUCCAAAAUAUAGAUCAGUAAAGUAUUGGUAUACAGAAUGGAGAAAAAUAAAUUAUGGGAUACGAACUGAAGUUGGAUCCUUAGAGAAGCUUAAGGAAAAAGCCGCGGAAUAUGAGAAGCUUGGAAUAUUAUUGCAAACUACAGACGAUCCAUUUACAGUUGUAAUUAUAACAUCCAUAAUGCAAAGAAGCCACAAACUACCAGCUACAAAAGACAUCAUAUUUAUUGACAGUACAUCCUCUGGUGAUGCAGAAAAUCAUGUAAUAACGUUCAUUUUGACGGUAACUGUAGCUAGGGCUGUACCUCAAGGAAUUUUUAUUAUCAAAAACCAAACCAUAUCUGAUUACGUAUUUGGUUUAAAUGGAAUAAAAUUGAUUCUUGGGAACGAAGCUUUUGGAGAUUCUUGUUUAAGAUAUAUUAUGACGGACGAUAGUAAAGCGGAGAGGCAAGCAUUAAGUCAAGUAUUUCCAGAGUCGAAACUUUUGCUAUGCUCUUUUCACGUGUGGCAGUCAAUAUGGAGAUGGCUUUGCGAGAAGAAGCAUAAUAUUGAAAAAACGACCGACCAGCAUUGUACGAUAGUUUCAAAAAUAUACUGAGGUCUUCUAACGCUGACAUGGCAGAAAGUAGCUUCGAAUCUAAAUUGAGCAAUAACACUGCUGUAAAAUAUCCCGCUUGGAUUAUGUACGUGAAGAAUUACUGGAAACGCCGACUUUAUUGGUGCGUACUUGCAUACAGAAAUGCAAGUACGCAUAGUCACUAAACAAAUAAUUUUUCUGAAAUAUCUGUCAGGCUGUACAAAAAUAUUGUGUUAAAUCGAUGCAAGGCCUACAAUAUCGUGGCCUUAGCUGGUUUUACAUGUACUGUGCUGGAACAAUACUAUUUUCGACGUUUAUUGAAUUUUGCUCACGGACGAAUAAAUGGGAGUAGGGCCAUUUUCAAAAAAGAAAUGAAAUAAGCAUCUUAUUUGACAAAAAAAGACAUAGUUCUUGUUGAAAAAUUCUCAUUCAAUGUACCAAGCAGUAGCAGUAAUAAACUAGUUUACGAAGUCGACAUGCAAAUGGGUCAUUGCACAUGCGAGGUUGGAAGGCUGGGAAACUUGUGUAAGCACCAAACUGCCGUUUUUUUCAUUAUUUCAAUGUCGUUUCAUGUACAACGGAAAAAAGAUUUGCAAUGGCUGUAUUGGCCUUGGGACAAAAAGCUAAGUCAAAGGAGUUUUACGCUCCUCUUGUUGAAACAACGAGCAGCGAUAAAGAUUCCUUUCGACCAUGCUCUUCUAAUUUUGAAG
rnacentral:lncRNA from 1 species